AAUAUUGGACAAUGGGCGCAAGCCUGAUCCAGCAAUGCCGCGUGGGUGAAGAAGGCCUUCGGGUUGUAAAGCCCUUUUGUACGGAAAGAAAGCUUUCGGGUGAAUACCCCGGGAGGAUGACGGUACCGUAAGAAUAAGCACCGGCUAACUUCGUGCCAGCAGCCGCGGUAAUACGAAGGGUGCAAGCGUUAAUCGGAAUUACUGGGCGUAAAGGGUGCGCAGGUGGUGGUUUAAGUCUGUCGUGAAAGCCCUGGGCUCAACCUGGGAAUGGCGAUGGAAACUGGGUCACUAGAGUGUGGUAGAGGAUGGCGGAAUUUCCGGUGUAGCGGUGAAAUGCGUAGAGAUCGGAAGGAACAUCUGUGGCGAAGGCGGCCAUCUGGACCAACACUGACACUGAGGCACGAAAGCGUGGGGAGCAAACAGG
rnacentral:rRNA from 1 species